AACGAACGUUGGCGGCGCGCCUAACACAUGCAAGUCGAACGCGAAAGGGGGUAACUCCCGGUAGCGUGGCGCACGGGUGAGUAACACGUGGAUAAUCUUCCCUCGAGCGGGGGAUAACCUUCCGAAAGGAGGGCUAAUACCGCAUAUGACCACGACCAGUCAGCUGGACGUGGUGAAAGCUGGCCUCUUCAUGAAAGCUAGCACUCGAGGAUGAGUCCGCGGCCCAUCAGCUAGUUGGCGGUGUAAAGGACCACCAAGGCGAAGGCGGGUAGCGGGUCUGGGAGGAGGAUCAGCCACACUGGAGCUGAGACACGGUCCAGACUCCUACGGGAGGGAGCAGUGGGGAAUCUUGCGCAAUGGGCGAAAGCCUGACGCAGCGACGCCGCGUGGGCGAUGAAGGCCUUCGGGUUGUAAAGCCCUGUGGGGAGGGACGAAUAAGUCAUGGCUAAUAUCCAUGGUGAUGACGGUACCUCCUUAGCAAGCACCGGCUAACUCUGUGCCAGCAGCCGCCGUAACAC
rnacentral:rRNA from 1 species